GAUGAACGCUGGCGGCGUGCCUAAUACAUGCAAGUCGAGCGAACAGACGAGGAGCUUGCUCCUCUGACGUUAGCGGCGGACGGGUGAGUAACACGUGGAUAACCUACCUAUAAGACUGGGAUAACUUCGGGAAACCGGAGCUAAUACCGGAUAAUAUAUUGAACCGCAUGGUUCAAUAGUGAAAGACGGUUUUGCUGUCACUUAUAGAUGGAUCCGCGCCGCAUUAGCUAGUUGGUAAGGUAACGGCUUACCAAGGCAACGAUGCGUAGCCGACCUGAGAGGGUGAUCGGCCACACUGGAACUGAGACACGGUCCAGACUCCUACGGGAGGCAGCAGUAGGGAAUCUUCCGCAAUGGUCGAAAGCCUGACGGAGCAACGCCGCGUUAGUGAUGAAGGUCUUCGGAUCGUAAAACUCUGUUAUUAGGGAAGAACAAAUGUGUAAGUAACUAUGCACGUCUUGACGGUACCUAAUCAGAAAGCCACGGCUAACUACGUG
rnacentral:rRNA from 1 species